rnacentral:misc_RNA from 1 species
AAAAUUUAUUGAAUUUGAAGUGGUUCCAUUACAGUAGCACAAUGUCGAUGUUCUUAACUUACGUAGAAUCAACCCCCCCAAAACAAAAGAGGAAAAAAAAAAAAAUUUUCAAUGGCCAAAAGGCAUGUCCAAGAUAACAAUUGUUCACAAAUUCAACUAAUUAUAUAACUAAAUCACUCCAAAUCGUUAAACUUGUACCUCUUGAACAUCAAAAUAUAGCACAUUCAUCCUGAAAGCCAAGCUCCUGGUAGCUAAACACCUCGCU